rnacentral:lncRNA from 1 species
CACAACCAGACCUUCUGGCCGGCAGCCCUGUGGCUAUCAACACUUCUGUCUUGCCAUAAAAUGCUUACACAAUUUCAAAAACUGCAUAUCUAAGGCUCUGGUCUGUCCAAUAAGUGGGGGUAAAUGGUAAACAUGCUCUCUGCUAUCCACGUUAUAUUUUUUAUUUUGGGUAUAGGGGAGGGUCACCUUUUUUAAGCGUCAGGGAGGGUUUAGGUAAAAUAUGUUUUGCUGAAAGGGGAGGACCAUCCAUUUUCAUUUCAGAGAGGUCCGAUUUUCAGAGAGGUGUCUUCUUAUAAAUAACGUUCACAACCCUUACUAUGCUCGUUACCAAUGAGUAGAUGGGAUGGGGCAGGACAUGCAGUGCGUCAAGCAUCUCAAAUAAAACCAAAAAACUGUCUACACAGACGCCCGGACUACGGAGAUGCCGGUUGAUGAGCGGGAGCAGCUUGGAUGAAAUGAUUGAAUAACACUUAUGUGUACAUUUAUUUCGUUGCGCUCGCACACGCAACCUGGGCGGUCUAGUCACGGAGUCAAGCGCUUCAUGGUGGAUUCAUUAGAGGAGUUUCUCUAGUUUCAAGAAACUUUAUUCUAAUAUGUACAUGUACUAGGCUAUAGAUACAGUAUGUUUACGAUUGUAGCCUAAAAUACGCUGAUUUCAAGAUAAUAGUGUGGAACACACACACUUGGAAAGACUAACGCAGUGAGAAAGGAGCCACGCACUCAGGGCUGCAGUGGAGCAGGUUGAGAGCUUCAAGUUCCUUGAUGUCCACAUCACCAACAAACCAACAUGGUCCAAAGACACCAUGACAGUCGUGAAGCAGGCACGACAAAACCUAUUCCUCCUCAGGAGACUGAAAAGAUUUGGCAUGGGUCCUCAGAUCCUUACAAGGUUCAACAGCUGCACCAUCGAGGGCAUCCUGACUGGUUGCAUCACUGCCUGGUAUAACUGCUCGGCCUUCGACCGUAAGGCACUACAGAGGGUUGUGCGAACGGCCCAGUACAUCCAGGACCUCUAUACCAGGCUGUGUCAGAGGAAGGCCGGGAAAAUUGUCAAAGACUCCAGCCACCCUAGUCAUAGAUUGUUCUCUCUGCUACCACAAAUGCAAGCGGUACCGGAGCGCCAAGUCUAGGUCCAAGAGGCUUCUAAACAGCUUCUACCUCCAAGCCAUAAGACUCCUGAACAUCUAGUCAAAUGGCUACCCAGACUAUUUACAUAUCCCCCCUCCACACCACUGCCACUCUGUGUUGUCAUCUAUGCAUUGUCACUUUAAUUAACUCUACCUACAUGUACAUACUUCCUCAACUAACCGGUGCCCCGGCACAUCCACUCUGUACCGGCACCCCCCUGUAUAUAUUGUUCUUUUCUACUGCUGCUCUUUAAUUACUUGUUACUUGUUACUUUUCUCUUAUUCUUUUCCGUAUUUUUUUUUAAACUGCACUGUCGGUUAGGGGCUCGUAAGUAAGCAUUUCACUGUAAGGUUGUAUUUGGCGCAUGUGACUAAUAAAACUUUAUUGGAUAAGAGUGUGCCAAAUAUGUGACCAUUGCUGUACAUUCAUACCCCAGGGUGAGGGUAACUUUACUAUUGUAGUGGAACAUCUGAAAUAGUUCAGUGGUGAUUGGAAUCUGUUUGGAUGCGUUCAGUAAUUAUCUGGUGUUAUGGGAGCUACAAUAUAUAUAAAUUGGUUGAUUUAUGGCUUA